UGAUUUCAUCACACUGGGAAAAAUUAUAAAUUGAAAUAAUAACAUUAAUUGAUGAUGAAAAUGGCUUUGUUUCUUUAUGUGACAGUAAACUGUGUAUCUGAACACCUUGGGCUUUGGUGGCCAUGUUAUAGACCAAACUGUUAACGUCAACUGAGAAAAUAAUGCACAGAUUGAUUGAUUGGUAAUGAAACUUAUCAUUGCAGCCCUAGAAAACCUACACGUGUGGCUUUGUCAGCGAUUUACAACCCAUGAAUUUCAGCUCCAUAAUAAUCCAUAAAAAAAAGGUUUUCUGGUUAACUUCCAGGAAGACAUUAACGGCCAAAAAUCUCAGCUGAAGUUGUCACGAGGAAAAUUCCGCCUCUGUGCCUGAUGAUGAAAUGAUAAGAGCAUCCUGCCUCGCUGCCUACGCAGAUGGGAGCUUCACUGAAGAGCUCGACAAUGUAAAGAGAACCCAAAGUCCCAGUUUGAAUAAAGGUCCCUAUUCUGUCUGUCUCUCUCUACACUGCCACUCCCCCCCUCAGAAGCUCCAGUAUAAUCCCCCCAGCCCUGCCCCCCAUGGACGAGUCCCAGUCAAAGGGCUCGAGUUGAUCUUUGUGGGCCAGUUCUUGUCAUGGUCAAUCACAGCCACAAGUCUACCAAUGCAUGUACUUCUGUACCCAGGGCCACCUAAAACUACCUGUGCAGCGAAAAGGGUUAAAAUUUAUCCAUAAUAUUAUUGUUAUAGAAAUAUUAUCAUCAUCAUUAUUGCUGUUAUAAUUAUGGUUGGUAUAAUUUGUCAUCAUUGUUAGCAUUAUGGAAGCACCAGACUGUUUGUGGAAAGACGAGAAAAAGAAAGCUUUUUUUUUUUUUUUUUUUUAAUUGUCUGGCUGUUGGUGGUCUGAUCUCACAGAGGGAGGGGAGGAAUGGUUCAGAAAGAGACAAAAGAUGGCAGUCAUGUUUGUACUGGUUGGGAAAUGACUUACAGUGCUGAAAUAAAAUUUAUUCUUUUAGUAAAAAAAAAGUAUUUGUUGUGUGCGGCGUCUUGAUUUUUAGAUUUAGCUUCAAUAUUGAAAGCGCAAAGACAAUUUUGACAUCGG
rnacentral:lncRNA from 1 species